GCAGCAAUGCCGACAACUCCAUGGAGCUCCAGAGAAUUUAAGAAACAGUCCGAGUGGAUAAAAUAAAACACUGACUGUGCGUGUGUGUGUUUGUGUGUCGAAGGAAGACACAGGAAGGAAGAAGGAUAGAAAAGAAGCCAGACCUGAAGACUGGAAGGGAAUAAGACAGACAGGGAAACAUGACGCAAUCCCCCCGUUUCCCAACCCCCAUCAGUCUGCCCAUCGGUGCUGCAAAGCACAAGGUGACAGAUUUUCUUCUCACUCACACAUUUCUGAUGCAACCCCCCCCGGAGGAAAGCCGGCGGUCGGCCUCUGGCUCGUGGUGAAACGGUAGCGAGGGUCUAGCACUCGCGAAGCCACAAAGCCUGGCGAAGCUUCCCGGAGGCUCGAAACGAACGCUGCGGAGGCCGAGAGCCCAAAGAGGUGCACAGAAGGUGUUUGGAUACCAACACUUAUUAUAAUCAUGAAGUGGAUUUCCUUCUAUUUGCCUUGUUAUAAGAAGUCCCUGCACCGAGACUAAGAACAUUGUUCACUGGAUGUUGCGUCAAUCUCCGGUCACAAGCCGCACAGAGCACUCAAGGCCCAUAUCCUCCCCGGACAGUCGGAGCGCACCCAGACUGCAGGGGGCGACGAUGCGGCUAAUGGUGAUUCCACCCACAGGAAGUGCCUGCGUACGAACAGGAAGCGCAUGGCAUAAAAUGUUUGUGGAGAGCUCAGAUGGCCCUCUCACUCGGCCCUGAGGAAAAGGACACUGUGGCCACAGCUCCUAAUCUCCCAGA
ensembl:lncRNA